rnacentral:lncRNA from 1 species
UGGAAAUUGCAAAAAAAUCUUUGAGCUAAAAUCGAAUGAACCAAGAGAAGAAACUACAAUGUGGAAAGUUUUCAGACUAAUCUUGCACCAUUGAUGCUAAGCCAAAGCAACAGAUUCUAAGCUAAUUGUAUUCUCAAGAGUCCAUAAUCAAAUACAGGCUGCUUCCUAAUUAUUCUAGAGGAAAAAUCACCAUAUGACUAAUUUAAAUGAAAUAAACACGAGAGCAAGACCAUUUUAACAAGGGAAACAAAUAGGAUUAAGGAAAAAAUUUGCUUCAUUCCAUCUUCAAAUUUGAUUUCACAUUGCGAGAUUCGAAAUAUGUACCUGGUUACAACAACAAAACUAACAAAAGUGAGUCGGGACAUAACAGUAAGCAGCAGCAGAAGUAAUUUCAAAUAAGGAAGAAAUCCCACAGCAUGAUUAUAACCAUCCAGGCAGAUGUAAUAUCAAACAAGCCAUCAGUAGAAAUCAACAUCAACCACACAACCCAUAUUUAGUGAAUGAAACCAGGAGAUUGACUCAAAAACCCAAUGAAACAGUAGACUUAACAGCUUAAAACCCAGAGAAUGUAAUCUAAACACUUAUUAUCAACUUCAAAAAAUCAGAGCACCAUAAUACAAGAUCAUCAUCUUUCUUUCAAACCAUUUUAAAUCUUGGACAGAAUGGAAAAUUUCAAAUUGAUUCAGAAAUUAACCAACUUCAAACAAUCAGAGCACCAUAAUCCAAGAUCAUCAUCUUUCUUUCAAACCAUUUCAAAGCUUGGACAAAAAGGAAAAUUUCAAGUUGAUUCAAAAAUGAAAAUAAACUUCCAAAGUUUAGACCUGAAUAACAGUAAUACUAACUUCUGCUUCUCUUUUUUUCUAAUUCUUUUCAAAUUUUUUUUAGAAUGUUGCUGGCUGCCUUUCAAAGCAAGAAAGCAUGCCUUUCUAGGCAAGGCAAGUAGGGCAGCCUUAGGUUUUCAUUUUUCAACUUACCCCUUUUUCAAAUUUCGUUUUAGCUUAGGUAACCCCCAAUUCCU